GGACUGGUAGCUCAGCAGUAGAGCAUUUCGCCUUGUCGAUUUCUUGCCCCCUGGGCCGACUGAUGAGGGUUAUCGGGAAGAAACGGUCGUAGGUGCGAAUCCUGCCCAGUCUC
rnacentral:tRNA from 1 species